GACGUAGGGCGUGAGCGUUGUCCGGAUUUAUUGGGCGUAAAGAGCUCGUAGGCGGCUUGUCGCGUCGACUGUGAAAACCCGAGGCUCAACUUCGGGCUUGCAGUCGAUACGGGCAGGCUUGAGUUCGGUAGGGGAGACUGGAAUUCCUGGUGUAGCGGUGAAAUGCGCAGAUAUCAGGAGGAACACCAAUGGCGAAGGCAGCACUCUGGGACGUGACUGACGCUGAGACGCGAAAGCGUGGGGAGCAAACAGG
rnacentral:rRNA from 1 species